GAGUGUUUGUCCGAGUGGUUGAGGGGAUGGACGUAAGAUCCACUGGUCACGGACCGCGUGGGUUCGAACCCCACAGUACUCA
rnacentral:tRNA from 1 species